rnacentral:rRNA from 1 species
AGUGAACGCUGGCGGUAGGCCUAACACAUGCAAGUCGAACGGCUGCACAGUACGUGCUUGCUCUUUCGGGUGGCGAGUGGCGGGUGGGUGCGAAAUAUCUCGGUAUCUACUUUUUCUAAGGGGCUAACGCAGGCACUCAUACGCCAUUACUCCUUACGACCUACGGGUGGAAGCAGGGGAUCUUAGGCUCUCGGACGAUUCUAUGACCGGAUGUCUGAUUAGCUAGUUGGCGGGGUAAAGGCCCACCAAGGCGACGAUCCGUAGCUGGUCUGAGAGGAUGAUCAGCCACACUGGAACUGAGACACGGUCCAGACUCCUACGGGAGGCAGCAGUGGGGAAUAUUGGACAAUGGGCGCAAGCCUGAUCCAGCCAUACCGCGUGUGUGAAGAAGGCCUUCGGGUUGUAAAGCCCUUUUGGUGGGAAAGAAAAGCAGCAGGUUAAUACCCCGCUGUUCUGACGGUACCCAAAGAAUAAGCACCGGCUAACUUCGUG